CACAUACCGACCCGACCCCAUACCCGUACCCAAACCCUUGUACGCGUCUUCUUCUUCUUCUAGCUGAAAACCCAAAAAUCGACCAAAAAAUCCCACACUACCUUGCAGAACCCAUACCUAGUAGCCUCAACGUCAAAUCCUCAAGUCUCCUUUUGCCCCUUUUUAGGGAUUUCCAGAUCUCUUCACUGUUGCCUUAAAAAAAGAGCAAAGAAAUUCAAAUUUCAACUUCGAUUUCCCCCUCUUUCAACACCAAUCUCAUCCUAUAAAUAUCUAUUUCUUUCAAUAUUUAGGAAAGAUAAAGUUUUAGAAAGGAUUGGAGAAAAGAAGCACAAAAAUUGCUUACUAAAUAUUUAUAUAUAGAUUUCUUUUUCUCUCUGGUUUGCCCCCUAACUGAAAUUUUCUGGAGCUCAUCGGAGCUCACAUGUGGUGUUGUAUAGCUUCACGGUCAAGCUCGGAGUCUCACCACGCUGCCCGAAAAAGAUCACUUCCUUUUUGGGUUAUUGUUUCAGACAUAUCAAAUCCGACCCGAGUCCUCACAAACUCUAUCUGAUCGCCUUGCCAUACAAUGAUUGGCACAUGGAGGCCUAAUUUACAUUCAUCGAGUCAGCCAGCCUUGAGGAAUCGAAGAACAAGUCUUUUAAGUUGAAGAAAAGUUCUCGGAAAGUAGAAAAAUGAGUUGUAUACAUCCGAUAUACUUUGAUAUAUAUCAUAUGUAUACAACAAGGGGAAUUGGGUCAAAACCCGAAAAUUCCAGCAAAAUUGGCCCAAAAAGGGGGCCCAAAUUCAAUCUCUCCAUUUCUCUUAACUCAUUUAAUUGUGUGGUUAUUUAUUACUUUGUUGUGUACUAACUCUAACUUUAGAACUAUAAAUUUCCAAAAGAUGAACGACAUUCUUUAUGUUGGUUUAUUUAAAUAUAAUUCACUUUUAUCAA